rnacentral:rRNA from 1 species
AAAGCGAAUAGUGAAAGAUGAUGGCUCAACCAUCAGAACAUUGUUCGAACUCACCGACUCGAGAAUGGUAGAGGUAGCUGGAAUUUCGUGUGUAGGAGUGAAAUCCGUAGAUAUACGAAGGAACACCAAUGGCGUAGGCAGGCUACUGGACCAUUUCUGACGCUGAGGCACGAAAGCGUGGGAGCGAACCGGAUUAGAUACCCGGGUAGUCCACGCCGUAAACGAUGGAUGCUA